rfam:Morus notabilis contig10235, whole genome shotgun sequence.
GCCUAUGAUGACCCAAUCCAACUUGUUUAGGUGUUGUGGAGCCAAGCUCCUGAUAAAGGAGGAACCUACUUGGCGAAGCAAUAUUUCAUAUGACAGUAACGGAUUUGACUGAGGC